UACGGGGGGGAGCAAGCGUUGUUCGGAUUUACUGGGCGUAAAGGGCGCGUAGGCGGUCGUGACAAGUCACUUGUGAAAUCUCCGGGCUUAACUCGGAACGGUCAAGUGAUACUGUCGGACUAGAGUACAGAAGGGGCAACUGGAAUUCUCGGUGUAGCGGUGAAAUGCGUAGAUAUCAGGAGGAACACCGAUGGCGAAGGCAGGUCUCUGGGCCGCAACUGACGCUGAGGAGCGAAAGCAUGGGGAGCGAACAGG
rnacentral:rRNA from 1 species